GAUGAACGCUGGCGGCGUGCCUAAUACAUGCAAGUCGAGCGAACGGACGAGAAUCUUGCUUCUCUGAUGUUAGCGGCGGACGUGUGAGUAACACGUGUAUCACCUACCUAUAAUACUGGUAUAACUUCGGGAAACCGUAUCUAAUACCGGAUAAUAUUUUGAACCGCAUGGUUCAAAAGUGAAAGACGGUCUUUCUGUCACUUAUAGAUGGAUCCGCGCUGCAUUAGCUAGUUGGUAAGCUAACGGCUUACUAAGGCAACGAUGCAUAGCCGACCUGAGAGAGUGAUAGGCGACACUGGAACUGAGACACGGUCAAGACGACUAAGGGAGGCAGCAGUAGGGAAUCUUACGCAAUGGGCGAAAGCAUGACGGAGCAACGCCGCGUGAGUGAUGAAGGUCUUCGGAGCGUAAAACUCUGUUAUUAGGGAAGAACAUAUGUGUCAGUAACUGUGCACAGCUUGACGGUACCUAAUCAGAAAGCAACGGCUAACUACGUG
rnacentral:rRNA from 1 species